AGGGAAUCUUCCACAAUGGACGCAAGUCUGAUGGAGCAACGCCGCGUGAGUGAAGAAGGCUUUCGGGUCGUAAAACUCUGUUAUUGAAGAAGAACGUGCGUGACAGUAACUGGUCAUGCAGUGACGGUAUUCAAUCAGAAAGUCACGGCUAACUACGUGCCAGCAGCCGCGGUAAUACGUAGGUGGCAAGCGUUGUCCGGAUUUAUUGGGCGUAAAGCGAGUGCAGGCGGUCUUUUAAGUCUGAUGUGAAAGCCUUCGGCUUAACCGAAGAAGGGCAUCGGAAACUGGGAGACUUGAGUGCAGAAGAGGAGAGUGGAACUCCAUGUGUAGCGGUGAAAUGCGUAGAUAUAUGGAAGAACACCAGUGGCGAAGGCGGCUCUCUGGUCUGUAACUGACGCUGAGGCUCGAAAGCGUGGGUAGCAAACAGGAUUAGAUACCCUG
rnacentral:rRNA from 1 species